rnacentral:rRNA from 1 species
AUUGAACGCUGGCGGCAGGCUUAACACAUGCAAGUCGAACGAGUGGCGGAGGGGUGAGUAAUGCUUGGGUAUGCAGCUUAUGGAGGGGGAACACUACGGGACAGUGUAGCUAAUACCGAGUACCAGAGUAAGAGCCCAAGUGGGAUUAUGUAGUUGGUGAGGAAAAGGCUCACCAAGGCGACGAUCUCUAUCUGGUCUGAGAGGAUGACCCGCCACACUGGGACUGAGACACGGCCCAGACUCCUACGGUAGGCAGCAGUGGGGAAUAUUGCACAAUGGGCGCAACCCUGACGCAGCCAUGCCGCGUGUAUGAAGAAGGCCUUCGGGUUGUAAAGUUCUUUCAGUAGCGAGGCGUUAACUACAGAAGAAGCACCGGCUAACUCCGUGCCAGCAGCCGCGGUAAUUC